rnacentral:tRNA from 1 species
GGAAGAGUAUCGUCUCCGGUGGGGCGCGCGGCCUUCAAAGCCGUUGAGGCGUGCUGACACGCCUGGUGGGUUCGACUCCUACCUCUUCCGC